UACGGGGGGGGCAAGCGUUGUUCGGAAUUACUGGGCGUAAAGGGCUCGUAGGCGGCCAACUAAGUCAGACGUGAAAUCCCUCGGCUUAACCGGGGAACUGCAUCUGAUACUGGAUGGCUUGAGAUUGGGAGAGGGAUGCGGAAUUCCAGGUGUAGCGGUGAAAUGCGUAGAUAUCUGGAGGAACACCGGUGGCGAAGGCGGCAUCCUGGACCAACACUGACGCUGAGGAGCGAAAGCUAGGGUAGCAAACGGG
rnacentral:rRNA from 1 species